rnacentral:rRNA from 1 species
UACAGAGGGUGCGAGCGUUAAUCGGAAUUACUGGGCGUAAAGCGUGCGUAGACGGUAGCGUAAGUCAGAUGUGAAAGCCCCGGGCUCAACCUGGGAAUUGCAUUUGAGACUGCUCUGCUCGGGUGCGGAAGAGGGAAGCGGAAUUUCCGGUGUAGCGGUGAAAUGCGUAGAUAUUACCAGGAACACCAAUGGCAAAGGCAGCUUGCUGGGCCACUCCUGACACUGAGGUACGAAAGCGUGGGGAGCGAACAGG